GCUCCUUUUUGUUGUUGUUUUGUUUGUUUCCUUUCAACUUGUUUUUUGGGGUGGUUUUCUUUGUUGUUGUUGUUUUGUUUGUGUGUCUGUUUGUUGGCUUGGUGGGGGAGGUUUUUUGGUUUUUUUUUUGAGAGAGGGGGUCUCGUCCCUCCCGCCCCGGGAGGCAGAGCCUCUGUGCCCCGGGCGGGCGGAGGCCGGGACCGGGCUUGUCCGAGCCUGCCUACAGCUCCCGGCUCCAGCCUCGGGGCUCCGUGGAGCUGCUGGUGCUGUUACUUGUAACAGGCUCGGGGGAACAUCCACUGGGCUCCUGCUCGGUUGAGCAAAUCUUUAUAUAUUUAGAUGGGAAAAUCCUUCUUUGCUAUCACACAGGCCGGUGGGUUAUCACUGCGGUGUUAGAGAGGAGCUGGAGGGAAGGAGCAAGGCUGACGACGUGCGUGAUCGUGACAUCGGCUGUGUGAGCGCCCUAAAAAUACCCCUGAUGGACCCGCGGGCGAUUUUUGCCCUGCAGAAACACAGCCGUCGAACCGGGUGACGUUUAGAGGGUUUUCUCCCGCUCCUUGUUUUCUUGUGUUCUAUGGGCGGAUGAGUUCACUUAGGCUUCGGACAACAGACGCCUUCUCGAUGAUGGUUUUCUGGGGAGAGUGCUAUUCUCUCGGAACUCUCCCUCUCCUGCCCCGCCCAACCCACGCACGGUCCCUGCUAGUGGUGGAGUUCCCUGCGGAGCAGGGAGCGCAGCCAGAUCUCCGUCCCAGAUCACUGCUCUUGCGACAGAACACGGUGCUUGCUCAUCUUCCGUGGGUUCUCCGUGGGGACUGUGGCUACUCUUUGCUUCUUCUGCUGAGGUUGCAGGAAAAAAAAAAAAAAAAAAGGGAAACGGGAAAGAAAAAAAAAAUUAACGAAAAUUACAUAGUUCGAAGACGGAUGGUGUUGAAUGUCGGAUUUUUUUUUUGCGUACAAAACCCCUGGCACAAGUGGGCUCUUUUAACAGCCUUUUAACUGAGGGUAUAAAAAUUGACUGGUGGUGGAAAGUAGUAAAUAGAGGAAAUACAGGAUAGAUCCAAACUGUGAACCGUGAAUAAACCUUAUUGGAAAGAGCUGAAGUGAGCAGAGAGUAGGUAGGCAAUUCUCUCGCUUCUGUUCUGAAAAAAGAGUGCGACGCGUUGGCACUUUUUUUUUUUUUUUUUAAACAUUCUGAGAGAAAAGAGUAAAGAAAGAAAAAUAGCGUUGUGGUGGAAAUGGGAUGAUAAAAGCAAGAUGUAAAAGGCAUAAGUACCGAAGUGGGUAUGCCCGCCCCUGGCGCUGCCCCGCCGCAGCCCGGUGGCUCAGAGCCGGCGGCUGAGCUUCAGCAGAAGCCACGGCGUUCAGAAAUGUUGCAACAGCACUUUAGAAGUCUCUAAAGAAAAGCUGAAUUGUUGGAACUUAGGUAACUUAAGGAAACUCGUUAUGACCUACAUUGCUGUUCUGAGUCAGCAGAUGCAGCCCCAGCCCCGGCGGGUCCCGCCGCCACCGCACACCCCGCACCCCUUGGGCGGAGCCGCCCCCCCGCCACCGCCCGGGCUCGCUGCUUCCCGGGUUUACAAACAAACUCGCCUGGAUCGAGACGGUUUCACUUCUGCUCUAAGGAAUGCCUCCGCGGCUUUUUUUUUUUUUUUUUUUUUUCUUUUUUUUUUCUUUUUUUUUUUCCCUCCUCCCAGGUUUGCGGACAGAGCAGCUUGCCUGCCUCUUACCGGCUGUAUUUUGAGGGGGAAAGAGCUUAAGCGGAGGACAAGGUCUUUUCUCCAAGUUUUUAAGAGCCGUACUUUAUAUCCCGAAGGGAUAGUCAUUGUUUUCUCCACCGGGAAAUAGAUGCCUUAUAGGGAAAAGUUACUACAUGUUGCACACUGCUUUGUUCUUACGGUAAGAGAAGGAAACUCUGAAGUUCCAAUCAAAAACUUACCGAACAACUUUCCAUGAUUCUUCUGUAAUGUAAAGUAAAAGUAGCAACGAUUAAACUUCAAAUGACCACACUGUCAAGAUUCAUAGCUGAAUCCAGUUUGCAGCGAGGUCGGACAGUCGCGCCGAGCGCUUGUUAAACGCACGGUCAGCGUCAGGACCGGGGAACCCUGAUUGUUUUAACAUCUUGAUUAGAGUAAUCUGUGCGCGAAGGUACCGCAUCACCCCGGCCAGGCGAGGGACGGGGAAUAACAUCGAGUCAGCUUGCUUUGAUAUUUAAAAUGACGAAAGACUCGAGAUGAAAUGACCUCAGAAAACUCCGCCUUUGGAAAGCAGCUCUUGCCGCCUCUCCCUUGCCCCCCGCUGUUCCCCCUCAAUUCUGACUAUUUCUAUAUCGACACGUCGUUGCCACCAGCAGGAGAACUGAAAAGACAAAACUUAGCUCCAAACGCCUUGGUUUUCCGGUCAGGAGUUUACCGGGUUUGCCCACUGCUUCGAGCACUGCUUUUGGUGUUAUUGUCAUUAUUACUGAUAUAUUUUUAUAAAGUUUUAGGUUUUUAUUGGUCGAGUACGGCAACUUACUGCAUUUAAUAAUAGGACAGAAAAAUCUAAUUUGCUUUCCUUUAUUUAUUUUUAAAAAGAAAAUUUCACAGCAAUGAUAGAGACUUGAUUCGAUACUCUUUAGUAACAACUUCUAGCAGCUGUGAGUUUCUUGCAACAGUGAUAGUUCAGCGUCUCCUCUUAAGAAACCAGUGAAAUUCGGAGGCAGAGGCUGAAAGCAGCUCCCCAUACCCCUAAGCAGGGAGGGGGGCAGGAAAAUGAUUCCUGCGGUUUUGGGAAAGAGUUGUUUCUCCCUGUGGUGGUGGCACCCCCCCAAGCCCCGUGUCCCAGCAGAUUCCCAGUUUGCAGCUGGACACGGGGAUACGUCCCUGCUGCCUCACCGUGAGGAUGAGCCACUGUCACUCAGCCACCUCCGGCUCUGCUUUCGGCGGGUGCUGCUAACCACCACCAAAUAAAGUCAACGCCUUCGCCUGCCUGAUUUUUAUUUUUUCAAAGAACCCCUAAAAUUCCCCCGCGGUGUCAUGGAAAGAGACAGCUCUUCUUGCUCAUAAGCCCCAAAUGUCAAAGGCAAAGGAGAGAAGAUAU
rnacentral:lncRNA from 1 species